CGGUUAAACCGCCCUCGGGCGGACAUACAGUGGCGAACGGGUGAGUAACACGUGACCAACCUGCCCCGCGCUCCGGGACAACCGCUGGAAACGGCGGCUAAUACCGGAUACUCCGCGGCCCCCGCAUGGGGGCGGCGGGAAAGCCCCGACGGCGCGGGAUGGGGUCGCGGCCCAUUAGGUAGUAGGCGGGGUAGAGGCCCACCUAGCCGACGAUGGGUAGCCGGACUGAGAGGUCGAUCGGCCACAUUGGGACUGAGAUACGGCCCAGACUCCUACGGGAGGCAGCAG
rnacentral:rRNA from 1 species